UGGGGAAUAUUGGGCAAUGGGCGAAAGCCUGACCCAGCGACGCCGCGUGGGGGAAGAAGUCUUUCGGGAUGUAAACCCUUGUUGUACGGGACGAAGGAAGUGACGGUACCGUACGAGGAAGCCCCGGCAAACUACGUGCCAGCAGCUGCGGUAAUACGGAAGGUGCAAGCGUUAGUCGGAAUUACUGGGCGUAAAGGGUGCGUAGGCGGUGAUAUAAGUCGGAUGUGAAAUUCCAAGGCUCAACCUUGGAGCUGCAUCCGAGACUGUACCACUAGAGGAAUGGCGGAGAGAAUGGAAUUCCAUAUGUAGCGGUGAAAUGCGUAGAUAUAUGGAAGAACACCCGUGGCGAAAGCGGUUCUCUAGCCUUCUCCUGACGCUGAGGCACGAAAGCAAGGGGAGCAAACA
rnacentral:rRNA from 1 species